CAUUUCCCUUUCCUGUUCGCUCAGGGAUUAACAUGUGGAUUAGCAGUUGGAUUAGCAGUUGGAUUAACAACUUCAUUUUAAAAAUCCUGCUGCUAUUCAAAUUAGCCACACCGUGGGAUGUAAGGAGCUCUCUGAUUGGUUGGUCAGACACAGGCUGUCUGCCAGCCUGGAUUUUUCUAGCUCAUAGCUUCUCCCUGCUACGAAGCGUGUGUGCUUGUACAAAGGCCGUUCAGCCUCGGGAUUUACACUCAGCUCGACACGGAUAUGUGAAGAAUGAAGGGACCCUGCAGCGAAACGGAGAGCCCAACCUCUGAUUGAGUGCCCGUUUACUCAGUCUGACCACCUGUUGAAGGGCUGUUUGAUGACGAUUUGGACUCCUCUGGGAGAUGGGGACACACCCACAUCUGUUCCAUACUGCAGCCAUGGAUGGUGUUACGGCUCUGAGUCAGCCAUCAGACGCACACACUGGAAAACCAGCGCCUGGACUUCAUGCAGGAGAGAUGACCUCAGUGAUCAUGGACUCUGCAUCCUCUACUUUACCUCCUAAUCUCUUUCUCUUUAACACACAAUUAAAAUCACUCCAAAAGAGUGUAAACUUACUGAGGAAGUCUCUAACUUGUACACAUUUGUACUUUUACUUGUUUUAUGAGUUAUUUUUAAGAAGAGUAAAGUUAUUCACAAAGUUUUUA